CGUGUAGGCGGCUCGAUAAGUUCGAUGUGAAAGCCCUGGACUCAAUCCAGGAAGGGCAUUGAAUACUGUCGAGCUAGAGUAUAGGAGGGGAGAGCGGAAUUCCUGGUGUAGAGGUGAAAUUCGUAGAUAUCAGGAGGAACAACAGCGGCGAAGGCGGCUCUCUGGACUAUAACUGACGCUGAUGCGCGAAAGCGCGGGGAGCAAACA
rnacentral:rRNA from 1 species